UUGGACAAUGGGCGCAAGCCUGAUCCAGCCAUGCCGCGUGCGGGAAGAAGGCCUUCGGGUUGUAAACCGCUUUUGUCAGGGAAGAAAAGGUUCUGGCUAAUACCUGGGACUCAUGACGGUACCUGAAGAAUAAGCACCGGCUAACUACGUGCCAGCAGCCGCGGUAAUACGUAGGGUGCAAGCGUUAAUCGGAAUUACUGGGCGUAAAGCGCGCGUAGGCGGCAAGUUAAGUUGGGUGUGAAAGCCCCGGGCUCAACCUGGGAACUGCAUUCAAAACUGGCUAGCUAGAGUACAGCAGAGGAUAGUGGAAUUUCCGGUGUAGCGGUGAAAUGCGUAGAGAUCGGAAGGAACACCAGUGGCGAAGGCGACUGUCUGGGCUGAUACUGACGCUGAGGUGCGAAAGCGUGGGGAGCAAACAGGAUUAG
rnacentral:rRNA from 1 species